CUCAAGACAAGUCAACCAAGAGCAUGAACAAGCAGCAGAGAAAGACCAGGGGUCAGCAGGCGAGGACAGUGACCUGGCCCGGACAGGGCCGAAGAAGUCCCCGGCCCUUGUGCCCCGCCGCCCCGGACCAGGGACUCCGCGGCGACCCCCCUGCCCGCCCCGCGCCCGAGCCCAGGACCGGGGCAGGGAAAGAAGCGGGCGCCACGCGCGGGCAACUUGGAGACUUACCUUCCCGGAUGCGCUACACCAUCAAUGGAGGAAGAUUAGCUCUAAGCUAACAUCUGCUGCCAAUCCUCCUCUUUUUGCUGAGAAAGACUGGCCCUGAGCUAACAUCCGUGCCCAUCUUCCUCUGCUUUACGUGUGGGACACCUACCACAGCAUGGCUUGAUGAGCAGUGCCAUGUCUGCACCCGGGAUCUGAACCGGCGAACCCUGGGCCACAGAAGGGGAACAUGUGCACUUAACCACUGUGCCACCGGGCCACAACCUUUCUUAUAGAGAAAAUCCAAAAGGAGCAGACCACAAGCUACAGAAUGUUUGUGUUCUCUUAAUCAAUAAAAAUCCCAUAAGAAUGAUCCCUGAAACACAUCCCCCCGAAAGGCCAUCCACCAACCCCCAGAAGAGGCCCGUUACCUUCAAACUAACAGCCCAUUCUUACUGCACUCAAGGAGAAGAAGAGAAAACCAAGAAAAACCAUGAUGGGUCUUCGCUUUACACGGAAGCAACAUCUACCCCAUCUCACCUAGUAAUAUGCGACUAAUUUUAAUCCCAGGGUGGAAGAAAUAGCCUAGAGUUAGUGAGCCAGGGAGAGGUGACAAAGUGACUUUCUCCCAGGACAGAGAAACUUUGGGUAAGUUGAUUACCACAAAUAAAGGAAACAAGUUGCAGUCUCUAUAAUUAAGAAUAAAAUGGAGGACUCAAGAAAGUAAUCAAAGCAACAGGGUUAUAGAUUGUGGCCCUGAGAGGUUCAAGACAUAUGAACUAACACAUCCACGUGAUAGAGAAAACCAAGCUGAUAGUUACCCAGUUGUGUUUUAC
rnacentral:lncRNA from 1 species